UACAGAGGGUGCAAGCGUUGUUCGGAAUUAUUGGGCGUAAAGGGUGCGUAGGCGGUUUGGUAAGUCUGAUGUGAAAUCUAUGGGCUCAACUCAUAGUCUGCAUCGGAAACUGUCGGGCUUGAGUAUGGGAGAGGUGCGUGGAAUUUCCGGUGUAGCGGUGAAAUGCGUAGAUAUCGGAAGGAACACCUGUGGCGAAAGCGGCGCACUGGACCAAAACUGACGCUGAGGCGCGAAAGCUAGGGGAGCAAACAGG
rnacentral:rRNA from 1 species